rnacentral:rRNA from 1 species
UACGAAGGGUGCAAGCGUUAAUCGGAAUUACUGGGCGUAAAGCGUGCGCAGGCGGUUUUGUAAGCCAGAUGUGAAAGCCCCGGGCUCAACCUGGGAAUGGCAUUUGGGACUGCAAGGCUUGAGUGCGGCAGAGGAGACUGGAAUUCCUGGUGUAGCAGUGAAAUUCGUAGAUAUCGGGAGGAACACCGGUGGCGAAGGCGGCGACCUGGGUAGAUACUGACGCUGAGGUGCGAAAGCGUGGGGAGCAAACAGG